GACUUGAUAGACUGGCGUCAGUUUCUGCUGAGCGCUGCCCUCCCUUGGCCGGUUCCCUCCUUAUCACAGCUGCUGGUCGUGCUCCAACGUUUCAAGGCAGCAGAUACUGGCAACACAGGCUAUGUUAACGAGGACCAGUACCUACAGACAGAGUUGUGGUUUUCCAAUGAGAGUGUCCAGCCCGUCCCAGAUGACCCCUCUGAGCCUCUGCCUUAUGACCGCCUGGCUAACCUACGCAAGUUCUUUUUCCAGUUGUUUGCGGACCGCUCCUCUUUCUCUCCCCCUCGACUGGACUAUGUGUGCAUGCUGCAGUACUUUGCGGCCGACCCUAACCCCAGACAGGGCUUCAUCAGAGCACUCAGUGUGGUGCUGGGACAACAUCUCAAGGACUCCUCCCCGGGCCAUCUUGUCAAGUCUAUGCCCAGUAUUGAAGAGGCUGCCGAGCUCAUCUCCUCGAACCUCGAUGGAGACGACAAGGAAGAAGACACUCCGUGUGCAUGGAGCGGCUCGUUGGGGGAGCAGGAGGUGUCCGUCAAUGCUCUCCUUGCUGUCAUCUGCCAC
rnacentral:lncRNA from 1 species